GGUUAAGUNCNGCAACGAGCGCAACCCCUAUCUUUAGUUGCCAUCAGGUUGGGCUGGGCACUCUAGAGAGACUGCCGGUGACAAGCCGGAGGAAGGUGGGGNNNACGUCAAGUCCUCAUGGCCCUUAUGUCCUGGGCUACACACGUGCUACAAUGGCGGUGACAGUGGGAAGCUAGGUGGUGACACCAUGCUGAUCUCUAAAAGCCGUCUCAGUUCGGAUUGCACUCUGCAACUCGAGUGCAUGAAGGUGGAAUCGCUAGUAAUCGCGGAUCAGCAUGCCGCGGUGAAUACGUUCCCGGGUCUUGUACACAC
rnacentral:rRNA from 1 species